UGGGGAAUAUUGGACAAUGGGCGCAAGCCUGAUCCAGCCAUGCCGCGUGAGUGAUGAAGGCCCUAGGGUUGUAAAGCUCUUUCAACGGUGAAGAUAAUGACGGUAACCGUAGAAGAAGCCCCGGCUAACUUCGUGCCAGCAGCCGCGGUAAUACGAAGGGGGCUAGCGUUGUUCGGAUUUACUGGGCGUAAAGCGCGCGUAGGCGGAUUGGUCAGUUAGGGGUGAAAUCCCAGGGCUCAACCCUGGAACUGCCCUUAAUACUGCCGGUCUUGAGUAUGGUAGAGGUGAGUGGAAUUCCGAGUGUAGAGGUGAAAUUCGUAGAUAUUCGGAGGAACACCAGUGGCGAAGGCGGCUCACUGGACCAUUACUGACGCUGAGGUGCGAAAGCGUGGGGAGCAAACAGG
rnacentral:rRNA from 1 species